CCUACGGGAGGCAGCAGUGAGGAAUAUUGGCCAAUGGGCGGGAGCCUGAACCAGCCAAGCCGCGUGAGGGAAGAAGGUACAGCGUAUCGUAAACCUCUUUUGUCAGGGGACAAAGGCGGGGACUAGUCCACGGAUGAGGGUACCUGAAGAAAAAGCAUCGGCUAACUCCGUGCCAGCAGCCGCGGUAAUACGGAGGAUGCGAGCGUUAUCCGGAUUUAUUGGGGUUAAGGGGUGCGCAGGGGGCAUGUUAAGUCAGCGGUAAAAGCCCGGGGCUCAAACCCGGCGAGCCGGUGAAACUGGCGGGCUGGAGUUGGUGAGAGGUACGCGGAAUGCGCGGUGUAGCGGUGAAAUGCGUAGAUAUC
rnacentral:rRNA from 1 species